rnacentral:rRNA from 1 species
UUCCUACGGGAGGCAGCAGUAGGGAAUCUUCCGCAAUGGGCGAAAGCCUGACGGAGCAAUGCCGCGUGAGUGAAGAAGGCCUUCGGGUCGUAAAACUCUGUUAUAAGAGAAGAACAAAUUGUAGAGUAACUGCUACAGUCUUGACGGUAUCUUAUCAGAAAGCCACGGCUAACUACGUGCCAGCAGCCGCGGUAAUACGUAGGUGGCAAGCGUUGUCCGGAUUUAUUGGGCGUAAAGGGAGCGCAGGUGGUUUCUUAAGUCUGAUGUGAAAGCCCACGGCUUAACCGUGGAGGGUCAUUGGAAACUGGGAAACUUGAGUACAGAAGAGGAAUGUGGAACUCCAUGUGUAGCGGUGGAAUGCGUAGAUAUAUGGAAGAACACCAGUGGCGAAGGCGACAUUCUGGUCUGUUACUGACACUGAGGCUCGAAAGCGUGGGGAGCAAACAGGAUUAGAUACCCUGGUAGUCCACGCCGUAAACGAUGAGUGCUAGGUGUUGGAGGGUUUCCGCCCUUCAGUGCCGCAGUUAACGCAUUAAGCACUCCGCCUGGGGAGUACGACCGCAAGGUUGAAACUCAAAGGAAUUGACGG